rnacentral:rRNA from 1 species
AUGCAGCUUGCCGCUCUGUGCACCGACCCCUUCGUGCUCUCCUGCACCCUCCUGUGCCUCCUGCUCCACCUAGCGCUACGCCGCUCCCUGAACCACCGCAGCUCCCGGCUACCGCCGGGGCCUCCUGGCGUCUCUAUUCUCGGCACGAUGCCAUUAGAAGGCCCGGCCCCGUGCACCGGCCUCGCGGCGCUUGCCCGCAAGUACGGCUCCGUCAUGUAUCUGCGGAUGGGCACCUGCGGCGUGGUGGUGGCGUCGUCGCCGUCGGCCGCGCGCACGUUCCUCAAGGCGCUGGUCGCGUGGUUGGCGAACCGGCCGGCGGUGGCCAGCGCGGUGGACAUCACGUACGGGCGCCAGAACAGGGUGUUCGCCGACUACGGGCCCAAGUGGAAGCUGAUGCGGAAGCUGUCGAGCGUGCACCUCCUCGGGGCGCGCGCCGUCGCUGACUGGGCGGGCGUGCGCCGCGACGAGGCCGGCCGCGCCCUGCGCGGCAUGGCGGAGGCCGGGCGGGCCGUGGUGGUGCCGGAGGUGCUGGUGUGCGCGCUGGCCAACAUCGUGGGGCAGAUCACGGUGAGCAAGCGGGUGUUCGACGCGCAGGGGGGCGAGUCCAGCAGCUACAAGGAGAUGAUCGUGUCGCUGCUGACCGGCACGGGGAUGUUCAACAUCAGCGACUUCGUGCCGGCGCUGUCGUGGCUGGACCUGCAGGGGGUGCAGGACAGGCUGCGCCGGGUGCACCGCCAGUUCGACGGGCUCAUCAUCAUCACCAAGCUGCUGGCGGAGCACGCGGCGACGGCCGAGGAGCGCGCCCGGGAGGGCCGGCUCGACUUCGUGGACAGGCUCCGCGCCAGCAGCAAGGACGGCGACAAGGACGCCGACGGCGAGACCAUCACCGAGGUCAACAUCAAGGGCCUCAUCUUCGUAAGCUCCCACACUUUAUUCGCUCUGCCAUUUCUGAUUAAUUACCGGCCGCAUCAUCUAAUCGAACCACCCAAUGCAUGCAAUCGAGUGAGGCUGCUGUGGUGGUGGUGCAAUAUAAUUGUGGCGUCGGAGCAUAGCUAG